UACGGAGGGGGCUAGCGUUGUUCGGAAUUACUGGGCGUAAAGGGCUCGUAGGCGGCCCACUAAGUCCGCCGUGAAAUCCCCAGGCUUAACUUGGGAACUGCGUCGGAUACUGGUGGGCUUGAAUCCGGGAGAGGGAUGCGGAAUUCCAGGUGUAGCGGUGAAAUGCGUAGAUAUCGGGAGGAACACCAGUGGCGAAGGCGAGCUUCUGGACGGAUACUGACGCUGAGGCGCGAAAGCGAGGGGAGCAAACGGG
rnacentral:rRNA from 1 species